GACGAACGCUGGCGGCGCGCUUAACACAUGCAAGUCGAACGUGAAGCCUGGAGCUUGCUCCGGGUGGAAAGUGGCGAACGGGUGAGGAACACGUGAGAAACCUGCCCUGAAGACCGGGACAACCAUUGGAAACGAUGGCUAAUACCGGAUGUCUUCAUCGGAUCGCAUGAUCUGAUGAAGAAAUGGAUUCCGCUUCAGGAUGGUCUCGCGGCCUAUCAGCUUGUUGGUGGGGUAAUGGCCUACCAAGGCAUCGACGGGUAGCUGGUCUGAGAGGAUGUCCAGCCACACUGGGACUGAGACACGGCCCAGACUCCUACGGGAGGCAGCAGUGGGGAAUCUUGCACAAUGGGCGAAAGCCUGAUGCAGCGACGCCGCGUGCGGGAUGAAGGCCUUCGGGUUGUAAACCGCUUUCAGUAGGGAAGAUAAUGACGGUACCUACAGAAGAAGCCCCGGCCAACUACGUG
rnacentral:rRNA from 1 species